CCUACGGGCGGCAGCAGUGGGGAAUAUUGGACAAUGGGGGGAACCCUGAUCCAGCCAUGCCGCGUGUGUGAAGAAGGCCCUCGGGUUGUAAAGCACUUUCAGUGAGGAAGAACGCCUGGUGGUUAAUACCCAUCAGGAAAGACAUCACUCACAGAAGAAGCACCGGCUAACUCCGUGCCAGCAGCCGCGGUAAUACGGAGGGUGCGAGCGUUAAUCGGAAUUACUGGGCGUAAAGCGCGCGUAGGUGGCUUGAUAAGCCGGUUGUGAAAGCCCCGGGCUCAACCUGGGAACGGCAUCCGGAACUGUCAAGCUAGAGUGCAGGAGAGGAAGGUAGAAUUCCCGGUGUAGCGGUGAAAGGCGUAGAGAUCGGGAGGAAUACCAGUGGCGAAGGCGGCCUUCUGGACUGACACUGACACUGAGGUGCGAAAGCGUGGGUAGCAAACAGGAUUAGAUACCCUGGUAGUC
rnacentral:rRNA from 1 species